rnacentral:misc_RNA from 1 species
GAUGAAGAACGUAGCGAAAUGCGAUAAGUAAUGUGAAUUGCAGAAUUCAGUGAAUCAUCGAAUCUUUGAACGCACAUUGCGCCCCCUGGUAUUCCGGGGGGCAUGCCUGUCCGAGCGUUAUUACAACCCUCAAGCUCAGCUUGGUGUUGGGCCCCGCCGCCCCGGCGGGCCCUAAAGUCAGUGGCGGUGCCGUCCGGCUCCGAGCGUAGUAAUUCUUCUCGCUCUGGAGGUCCGGUCGUGUGCUCGCCAGCAACCCCCAAUUUUUUUCAGGUUGACCUCGGAUCAGGUAGGGAUACCCGCUGAACUUAAGCAUAUCAAUAAGCGGAGGA